GAGCGGGAGAGAAAAAGACAAGGAAAGUCAGAGCAGUACGUAAAACACAGAUAAAGACACAGAAUCUGCUUAUGGUGUCAUUCUACGGCGGUCAGACACACGCAAAAAAAUCAAAAGCAACUGUACAAUGAGAAGACAGACAUCUGGGCCCUGGGCUGUAUCAUAUAGAAGUUGUGUUCCUUUCAAUAUCCGUUUGUUGUGAGUGGAGAAGAGUCUCCAAUCAGCUGAAUCUGCCGUGGGGAUUUCAGGAGAAUCCCACCUUAUUAUUCCGAAGAGCUGAAUUUCCUGAUAUAGCACAUGUUGGAAGUGCAGAUGAGAUCUUCAUUCAUCUACCUGUGUUAUUUUAGCCAUUCACAGCUGUCCUUUUGCCAGCAGACUUAUAAUAGCAUGUUUUUUACUUUGCCAAAUUCAUACCGGUCAGUUCAUGUAUGGACUAAGUGUAAAGGCUGACACGCCAGGAUCCUCUUCGCCCAAAAGGAAGCACAUCACAUUAUGUGACUGGCUCAGAAACCUUACCAGACUAUCAACAAAACAACUUCGGUCACUGAAAGACAAGAGUUUGUGAACUGUCAUAUAUAGGGGUGGGGUAAAAAGACACUGGCCACUGCUGAAGUCUGAUUGGCUGCUAAAGUGUCCACUCAAAACGAUAAUACGUUUUUAUACUGCAAAUUUACGGUCUGAUUCUCACUCCAGAGCAGAAGAUGGCAGUACUGCACCAGGAGCCACCAAUAAAAACAUUAGAAGAAAUGACUGAACUGUGACCACAUUACCAUUUAAAUAAAAAUUGUCAAGAGUUCUUAUUUUCUAAGCUUUUUAAAACUACACAAAGUGUUAGCACAAGGAAUAAUUUUCUUUCCUCAAAACUUAAUAUGUGGCCAACAACCAACAAAUAACUGGUGAAAUGUACAGACACCUUAGUGAAUGGGGAUUUGUGUGUGGAUAUUGGACAUAUACUUGACCAAACUGUAACAUGUUGCUCCUGAAUGGCUCUUGACUGGAACAUUCCAAGACCCAUCCAUCACUGGAUCAAAGGUGACCUCUUCGGAAUUCUGGAGAGGUCUUAUUACCCAUUCAGUUUGAACCAUUAAAAGAAUUUUUAUGACUGAUUUGUGAUGUUCUCUUGUUAGAUCACAUCACAUUUCAUUUUGUUGAGUCUGUUGGGUCUGAUCAGGGAUCGUGUCAUGUUCGCGCUUAGAUAUCACUGUAGAAAUGUGACAUUCAUAAUACAUUUUAUUAGUGCUUCUACACACUGAGUUGGUUUUGUGAAUCUCAUUGGUUCAAAAAUGUGGUCGUGCUUGCAUUAGUGCUAGAACUUGGUCUCUCUUUCCAGGAUGACAUGAAGCCCUCAGUCAUGGACAUCAUCAACCACAGCCUGCUGAAAGAAAUGUUCGCUGAACAGGAAGACACACAGACUGGAUGUGGCGUCUUCAACUGGAAGACGACUGAACUAUCCACCCCUCCAGCAUGUUCAC